rnacentral:lncRNA from 1 species
GCCUAUCUAUAUUCAAUUAGUUUAUUCAGCUGUUAAAUAAAAAAAUUAUUUAACCAUGUCAGAAUUUUAUUUCAUAAUAAAAUUAGCUAGAUAUAAAAUACAUACAAUGAAAUAACAAAUAUUAUAACCACCCGUGCAUUGCACGGGUUCAGACUACAAGCUUGAUACAGAGAAACUUUUUGACGAAGUGUGAAUUCUUUUUAGGUUUAAAUUUUGGCGUUUAUGUUAUUUUUCAUGUCAAGUUCUUUGCUUAUACUAAUAUUUGAGCAUAUAUAGGAAGACAUAAGUGAAUUAUUUACAUGACUAUAUUUGUGAGCAUCAUUUUUGUCCCUUACGAAAAAAAUUGUUGGUAUGUUUUUCAGAGGGAAUCAGACAUUGCAUAGCUUGAGCAAGGUGUGUAACUCCCCUUUUGAGGUUUCAUCCUGUCUGGCAUAAAACCGACUCAUAUAAUGAUCUCACAAUAAUGACAAAAACUGAAUCUUCACGAUUAUUGUUGAAUGACUAUAAGACUAUCAGUUGCAUGGAGUUGUGGACUAUAUUUUUCAAUUUGUGAUGCCAUGCUAUUCUAAAUUCCUUUAAGUUGGCUUACAUAAUAUUACUGCUUAGUUUUGCCAGAGUGCAACUUUUCAUUUCUUCGAACCUGCUAAGCUAAUUCUUAUCAAGGGAAAAACUUGAGAAAAAGGACAUCAAGAGGCUUACUAAGUCCUAACUCUGCCUUACAUUUGAAGACCUUAGAUAGAACUGUUUUUCUUCACCUUGAGUAUAUUCUCUAUCUAUGUAUGCAUGAUAUACACACUUGAUUAAGGUAUGGUUUGUUUAUCCUCUUUUUUAGACAGUGUGUACAGUAUUAAGUGUUAUAGUUGGAGGCUUAGUAGCAGAACAUUCGGUGUUUGGUUACUCAGCAGGACUUCUCUGACGUGAAGAAGGUCGGCUACAUGUCCUGUGUGCUAAUCCUUAGAGAUUCAUCAAAAUUGUAUAUUACUGGUUUUUAUCGCUUUUAUAAAUUAUUUUUAAUUCAUUUUUAUGUAAGACUUAUAAUGCAAGUGAUUUAGACACUUAAUAUUAUUAUUAUUGGUAAGAGACGUUUUUUAGUAGAGUUAUCCAGUUUAAUAUGUGGACUAAUCUUAUACUGUCAACUUUGUAUGACUUU